CCUACGGGCGGCAGCAGUGGGGAAUAUUGCACAAUGGGCGCAAGCCUGAUGCAGCCAUGCCGCGUGUGUGAAGAAGGCCUUCGGGUUGUAAAGCACUUUCAGCGGGGAGGAAGGCGGUGAGGUUAAUAACCUCAUCGAUUGACGUUACCCGCAGAAGAAGCACCGGCUAACUCCGUGCCAGCAGCCGCGGUAAUACGGAGGGUGCAAGCGUUAAUCGGAAUUACUGGGCGUAAAGCGCACGCAGGCGGUCUGUCAAGUCGGAUGUGAAAUCCCCGGGCUCAACCUGGGAACUGCAUUCGAAACUGGCAGGCUAGAGUCGUGUAGAGGGGGGUAGAAUUCCAGGUGUAGCGGUGAAAUGCGUAGAGAUCUGGAGGAAUACCGGUGGCGGAGGCGGCCCCCUGGACAAAGACUGACGCUCAGGUGCGAAAGCGUGGGGAGCAAACAGGAUUAGAUACCCCAGUAGUC
rnacentral:rRNA from 1 species